GAUGAAGAACGCAGCGAAAUGCGAUAAGUAAUGCGAAUUGCAGAAUCCGUGAGUCAUCGAGUCUUUGAACGCACAUUGCGCCCCCUGGUAUUCCGGGGGGCAUGCCUGUCCGAGCGUCAUUGCUGCCCUCAAGCACGGCUUGUGUGUUGGGCCCCGCCCCCCGGCUCCCGGGGGGCGGGCCCGAAAGGCAGCGGCGGCACCGCGUCCGGUCCUCGAGCGUAUGGGGCUUCGUCACCCGCUCCGUAGGCCCGGCCGGCGCCCGCCGGCGACCCCCCUCAAUCUUUUCAGGUUGACCUCGGAUCAGGUAGGGAUACCCGCUGAACUUAAGCAUAUCAAUAAGCGGGA
rnacentral:misc_RNA from 1 species